UAGGAUUGAAGUGUAACUAGGCUGUCAUAAGCUCAAGAUAUACUUAAGAUCACCCUCAAGACGAUCCUAGCGUCUCUGAUUAAUUCAACCCCACGAAAGCUAGGGCACAAACUGGGAUUAGAUACCCCAUUAUGCCUAGCCCUAAAUCUUGAUGCUUACCACACCAAAGCAUCCGCCCGAGAACUACGAGCACAAACGCUUAAAACUCUAAGGACUUGGCGGUGCCCCAAACCCACCUAGAGGAGCCUGUUCUAUAAUCGAUAAUCCACGAUUCACCCAACCACCCCUCGCCAGAGGCAGCCUACAUACCGCCGUCGCCAGCCCACCUUCCCUGAAAGUCCCACAGUGAGCAUAACAGCCCAAAUCCGCUAAUAAGACAGGUCAAGGUAUAGCCCAUGGGGUGGAAGAAAUGGGCUACAUUUUCUAUAAUAGAAAACCCACGAAAGGGGGCGUGAAAUGGUCCCCGGAAGGCGGAUUUAGCAGUAAAGCGGGAUAAUAAAGCCCUCUUUAAGUUGGCUCUGGGGCACGUACAUACCGCCCGUCACCCUCC
rnacentral:rRNA from 1 species